rnacentral:rRNA from 1 species
AGUGAACGCUGGCGGUAGGCCUAACACAUGCAAGUCGAACGGCAGCACAGUAAGAGCUUGCUCUUACGGGUGGCGAGUGGCGGACGGGUGAGGAAUACAUCGGAAUCUACUUUUUCGUGGGGGAUAACGUAGGGAAACUUACGCUAAUACCGCAUACGACCUACUGGUGAAAGCAGGGGAUCUUCGGACCUUUCGCGAUUGAAUGAGCCGAUCUCGGAUUAGCUAGUUGGCGGGGUAAAGGCCCACCAAGGCGACGAUCCGUAGCUGGUCUGAGAGGGUGAUCCGGCACACUGGAACUGAGGCACGGUCCAGACACCUACGGGAGGCAGCAGUGGGGAAUAUUGGACAAUGGGCGAAAGCCUGAUCCAGCCAUACCGCGUGAGUGAAGAAGGCCUUCGGGUUGUAAAGCCCUGUUGUUGGGAAAGAAGAGCAGCAGGUUAAUACCCCGCUGUUCUGACGGUACCCAAAGAAUAAGCACCGGCUAACUUCGUG